rnacentral:lncRNA from 1 species
AAGGCGCGGAACUACUCAGUGGUGAAGGCUGUGCGGACACUGGGGGCCCGCCAGGGGUUUGGCCCCUUACUCAACCCAACCACGGUCCUCUCCGGCGCAGGCCGAUUUGAGGACCUAGACUCCUUGAUGCUGACGGCCUGAGGGGGCUCCCGGGUGCCGGAUAUCUGACACAGGCCAGGGAGGCUCCCCUGGGAGACCUGGCAGGCCUGGAGGUGUGAGUCGGCUCUGAGCAGCUGCUCUGGGAGAGCCAGUCCACGGAGCCAAAGCUGGAGGGCAGCUGCCGGCCACAAGUUGGGGAGGAGGAGAGACGCAAGGCCGUCAGAUGCUUGUCCUGGAAACCAACCAUGAGCUGUGAUGAAAUCCAGGCAACUGAGUUGUGUUUCAGCCCAAAGCAGCAAAUGGAAUCCAGCUUCAGGACCAUCAUCUGACAUAGGGGAAGAAGACUUACAUAGAAGGCCUAACCAGCACCCAAGAUCAUGUACAUGGAUGGAGCUGGAAGCCAUUAUCCUCAGCAAACUAACACAGGAACAGAAAGUCAAACACUGCAUGUUCUCACUUGGCUGGUGUCAGAGAAGGCUGAAUUGGGUACCAAGACAUUCCUUCUCUCCAGGUGGUAACAAGGACCCUCACAUGGUAUUAAUGAAGACCAAAUGUUUGAAUUUCUGCUUGACUUCUUCAAUUGUGAAAUCUGGAUCUAUGCAGGACCAAAAAUGAUCUUGAAAAGCCAAAGCAAUCCUAAGCAAAAAGAACAAA